rnacentral:lncRNA from 1 species
CGGAGCUGUCUUGUAGCUGAAGUUGUUGGUCGUCGAGGAUGAAGCCCGGCUCCCGUGGGAGUCCGGGCGGAGACUUCUUUUGAGGUUGGCCUUGUUGGUGGAGCCGUUGAUUCUGUGGAGGACUUCGGCUGGGGGUAUUUUAUACCCAACACCAGUCCUCCUACUUUCGAGUUUGAAUUUCGAACGAAGGAAGUACAGAGAGAUGGACACAGCCGAAGCCGUCCCUUCGAAUCCUGCGCACCGCCGCCCCC